rnacentral:rRNA from 1 species
AUUGAACGCUGGCGGCAGGCUUAACACAUGCAAGUCGAGCGGGGUGAUGGUGCUUGCACUAUCACUUAGCGGCGGACGGGUGAGUAAUGCUUAGGAAUCUGCCUAUUAGUGGGGGACAACAUCUCGAAAGGGAUACUAAUACCGCAUACGUCCUACGGGAGAAAGCAGGGGAUCACUUGUGACCUUGCGCUAAUAGAUGAGCCUAAGUCGGAUUAGCUAGUUGGUGGGGUAAAGGCCUACCAAGGCGACGAUCUGUAGCGGGUCUGAGAGGAUGAUCCGCCACACUGGGACUGAGACACGGCCCAGACUCCUACGGGAGGCAGCAGGGGGGAAUAUUGGACAAUGGGGGGAACCCUGAUCCAGCCAUGCCGCGUGUGUGAAGAAGGCCUUAUGGUUGUAAAGCACUUUAAGCGAGGAGAAGGCUCUUUUGGUUGAUACCCAAGAUGAGUGGACGUUACUCGCAGAAUAAGCACCGGCUAACUCUGUGCCAGCCGCCGCCGUAA